UACAGAGGGUGCGAGCGUUAAUCGGAUUUACUGGGCGUAAAGGGCGCGUAGGCGGUGAUAUGUGUGAUAGGUGAAAGCCCCGGGCUUAACCUGGGAAGUGCCUAUCAAACUAUAUGACUGGAGUAUAAGAGAGGGUGGCGGAAUUUCCGGUGUAGCGGUGAAAUGCGUAGAGAUCGGAAGGAACGUCAAUGGCGAAGGCAGCCACCUGGCUUAAUACUGACGCUGAAGCGCGAAAGCGUGGGGAGCAAACAGG
rnacentral:rRNA from 1 species